GAUGAACGCUGGCGGCGUGCUUAACACAUGCAAGUCGAACGGAAAGGCUCCUGCUUGCAGGGGUACUCGAGUGGCGAACGGGUGAGUAACACGUGGGUGAUCUGCCCUGCACUUCGGGAUAAGCCUGGGAAACUGGGUCUAAUACCGGAUAGGACGAUGGUUUGGAUGCCAUUGUGGAAAGUUUUUCGGUGUGGGGUGAGCUGGCGGCCUAUCAGCUUGUUGGUGGGGUAAUGGCCUACCAAGGCGUCGACGGGUAGCCGGCCUGAGAGGGUGUACGGCCACAUUGGGACUGAGAUACGGCCCAGACUCCUACGGGGGGCAGCAGUGGGGAAUAUUGCACAAUGGGCGCAAGCCUGAUGCAGCGACGCCGCGUGGGGGAUGACGGCCUUCGGGUUGUAAACUCCUUUCGCUAGGGACGAAGCGCAAGUGACGGUACCUGGAGAAGAAGCACCGGCUAACUACGUG
rnacentral:rRNA from 1 species